rnacentral:misc_RNA from 1 species
AAGUCGUAACAAGGUUUCCGUAGGUGAACCUGCGGAAGGAUCAUUAAUGAAUUUUGGAGUUCUACUGUGCCUGCCGUUCAUUUGGAUGUGUGCACGUAGUCUCUAUAAAUCCUUAUCAACACCUGUGCACCUUUAAAAGGGGAAUCUGAUUAAGCUUUAACGGCUUAUGAGGAAUAACCUUUUUCUUACACAAACUCUUAAUGUCUAUUAGAAUGUUCUCUGGCCGCAAGGCUAUAAAAUAUAAACAACUUUUAACAACGGAUCUCUUGGCUCUC